UUUUUUUUUCCUAUUUUAACCUUUCGAUCUUCUUUUUCUGUUCCUCACUUGGCAUGCGUCCAUCAUCGCUGCCGUUUCUGUUUCAGUUCUCUGUUUUUUCUUUCUUUGCUUUCCAUUUCUCUUCCCUCUCUCGCCCUCUUGUCAGUGUUUUGCAAGCUUCUCCCUUUCUCUUUGUCGCCAUGGUCUCCGUCGCUCUCAAGCUUUUUUCCCUUUCUUUUUGUCGCCAUGGUCUCCAUCGCUCUCAAACUUUCGUUUCUAUCCCUGUCAAAUCUUGGCUUGCUGGAAAAAACCAAAGCAGUUUAAGCUUCUUAAGCUUUUUGAUUUGGAUUGAAGAUGAUUUUAAGCAAAAAAGGUUAACGUUUUAUGGAAACGGUGGUGUUGCAAUUUUGGGGCUUUCGUGUGCAACCUUGGAACCACUUUGUGCUCAAGGUAUAUAAAAGGAGACGUUACUCUUCAUUUUUUGUGGAACAAAUUUUUUUGUUUUUUGUUUUUGUAAUAUUGUGAUAGUUUAAUUUUGUAUAUUGUGAAAGUUGAUAGUUUGAGAAACUGAGUAACUGUGUAUUUUUUUGUAGUUAUGGUAUGAGACGUGAUAUAAAUUGAAUAGGGUGAGAUAAGGUAUUUUAGGUAUCACAACGAUUGAUCGUGAAAAACUAUUAACAAACUAAAUUUGAAACA